AGUUUGCCAUGAUGAAUUGCAUGUUAAGUCCCGUGUAUCACCUGAUCAGCCUGAUUAAACACAUGCUCUGACAGACU
rnacentral:snoRNA from 1 species